rnacentral:rRNA from 1 species
GAUCCUGGCUCAGGACGAACGCUGGCGGCGUGCCUAACACAUGCAAGUCGAGCGGAGAACAGGGAAGUGCUUGCACAGAACUGUUUUUAGCGGCGGACGGGUGAGUAACGCGUGAACAAGCUGUCCUUCACAGGGGGAGUAACACUUGGAAACAGGUGCUAAUACCGCAUAAGACCACAGGGGUGCAUGCUCCAGGGGUCAAAGGAGCAAUCCGGUGGAGGGGUGCGUUCGCGUCCCAUUAGAUAGG